UUGAUCCUGCCGGACCUGACUGCUAUCUGAUUGGUACUAAGCCAUGCGAGUCAUUGUACAAUACAAGGCGGCACGGCUCAGCUAACACAGUAAGUCAAGCCUAACCUCGUGAGGCGUGGAUAACCUCGGGAAACUGAGAAUAAACCACGAUAGCCAUUAUGCCUGGAAUGGCUUAUGGUCCAAACAGUUUACUGCCAUGGGAUGGGACUGCGGACUAUCAGCUUGUUGGUGAGGUAAUGGCCCACCAAGGCUAUAACAGGUACGGGCUCUGAGAGGAGAAGCCCGGAGAUGGGUACUGAGACACGGACCCAGGCCCUAUGGGGCGCAGCAGGCGAGAAACCUUAGCAAUGUGCGAAAGCACGACUGGGUCAGUCCGAGUGAUUCCUGAUAAAGGAGUCUUUUGCUUGUCCUAAAAGCACAGGUGAAUAAGGGGUGGGCAAGUCUGGUGUCAGCCGCCGCGGUAAUACCAGCACCUCGAGUGGUCAGGACGUUUAUUGGGCCUAAAGCAUCCGUAGCCGGCUCUGACAGUCUUCGGUUAAAUCCACCUGCUCAACAGAUGGGCCGCUGGAGAUACUACAGAGCUACGGAGUGGGAGAAGCAGACGGGAUUCACUGGGUACGGGUAACAUCCUCUGAUCCCUUGAGGACCACCAGUGGCGAACGCGGUCUGCAGAACACGUCGACGGGAGGGAUGAAGUUGGGGAGCAACGGAUUGUACCGGGUAGUCCC
rnacentral:rRNA from 1 species